rnacentral:rRNA from 1 species
ACUCCUACGGGAGGCAGCAGCAGGGAAUCUUGCACAAUGGGCGAAAGCCUGAUGCAGCAACGCCGCGUGUGGGAUGAAGGCCUUCGGGUUGUAAACCACUUUCAGGAGGGAAGAAAUUGACGGUACCUCCAAAAGAAGGUCCGGCCAACUACGUGCCAGCAGCCGCGGUAAUACGUAGGGACCGAGCGUUAUCCGGAAUCAUUGGGCGUAAAGAGCUCGUAGGCGGUUCAGAAAGUCGGCUGUGAAAGUCCAAGGCUCAACCUUGGAAAUGCAGUCGAGACUUCUGUGACUAGAGUCUGGUAGAGGAGAAUGGAAUUCCCGGUGUAGCGGUGGAAUGCGCAGAUAUCGGGAGGAACACCAGUAGCGAAGGCGGUUCUCUGGGCCUCGACUGACGCUGAGGAGCGAAAGCAUGGGUAGCAAACAGGAUUAGAUACCCUGGUAGCGAG